GAUGAACGCUGGCGGCGUGCCUAACACAUGCAAGUCGAGCGAUUCUCGUCGGAGAAGAGCGGCGGACGGGUGAGUAACGCGUGGGUAACCUGCCCUCUACACAAGAAUAACAUACCGAAAGGUAUGCUAAUACCAGAUAAUAUACUUUUAUCCCAUGAUCGAAGUAUCAAAGCUCCGGCGGACCAGGAUGGACCCGCGUCUGAUGAGCUAGUUGGUAGGGUAACGGCUUACCAAGGCGACGAUCAGUCGCCGACCUGGGAGGGUGAUCGGCCACAUUGGAACUGAGACACGGUCCAAACUCCUACGGGAGGCAGCAGUGGGGAAUAUUGCACAAUGGGCGAAAGCGUGAUGCAGCAACGCCGCGUGAGCGAUGAAGGCCUUCGGGUCGUAAAGCUCUGUCCUCAAGGAAGAUAAUGACGGUACUUGAGGAGGAAGCCCCGGCUAACUACGUGCCAGCCGCCGCCGUAAGAC
rnacentral:rRNA from 1 species